GUCCGGAGACCAGGGCACAAAAGCCUACGACGAGGACACGGCCGUCUUCAUCACUAUGUCUCAGGAGCUGAAGGAGGAAGGGAACAAGCUCUUUCAGAAGAGGGAUUGUGAAGGAGCAAUCUUAAAAGUAUGAAAAAGCCCUCAAGUUGCUGCCCAGAAAUCACAUAGAUGUAGCCCACCUCCACAGUAACAUGGCUGCUUGUUACAUGCAGAUGGAAAGGAGGAGAUGAGUCUAG